UGAACCGUUGCCUUAGUGGUUAGAGUGUCUGCCUCGGAUGCGAGAGAUUGCGGGUUCGAAUCCCGGCCGACUUAU